UACAGAGGGGGCAAGCGUUGUUCGGAUUCACUGGGCGUAAAGGGUGCGUAGGUGGCCAGGUAAGUUUGGUGUGAAAGCUCGGAGCUUAACUCCGAAAAGUCAUUGAAUACUAUCUGGCUGGAGGGUCGGAGGGGAGACUGGAAUUCUCGGUAUAGCAGUGAAAUGCGUAGAUAUCGAGAGGAACACCGGUGGCGAAGGCGGCCUGCUGGGCAGUAGCUGACGCUGAGGCGCGACAGCGUGGGGAGCAAACAGG
rnacentral:rRNA from 1 species